AUCACAAACAAAUCAGAGUGUUAUGUCUCAAAAAUAAUAGAAUUCUAUUUCUUCCUCAGGUAGCUGUUUAUUGUUGAUUGUUCUGUGAUGGUGGAAGGCCUCUACUCCAUGCAGUUCUUCAGGAAACCAAGCUGAUGGAAGCUCUGCUGUCUUCAACUAGUUGUUCUGGUCAUCUUUGACACCAAUCAACCUUUGGGGAGUGGGGGAUUGCAUCGAAGGUCUCUGGAGGUUUUGCUAGUCUAGCCCAGCAGUGGCAUAUAUCAUUUCCACCAGAAAGAAUAUAGUCAUUUAGCUACCUAACUGCAAAGGAGUCUAGAAAUCAUGGAAGAAAAGGAGAAUGGAUUUUAAUGGACACUUAGCAGUCUCUGACAUGAAAUCUGGGAAAGACAAAAUAGUGAUGAAAUGGCAAAUGAGUACAUGCUCUGGUGGAGGGUGGAAAUAAUUUUUAAAAAAUGUAUUUAGAAGGUGAGAGAAGGUAAUACUCAGUGUGGAACAAAGUCAUUGGGAAGAGUAUCACUCAAGAGAUGGAACGAUGGGAGAGAAGAUAAACUGGAUAAAUGAAGACAAAAGAAAUAUAAAUGACUCAAUAAACACAUAUGGAUGCACUGUAUUUUGGAGAAAGAAUACGUUUGCAAAGCUUUUAAAAUUAAAUCUUCAUGAGAAUGUAGGAGUAAAUGCCAGAUGAAUUCGUGAGUACCUAGUUUAAUGAUAAUCCAAAACAAACUUUAAGAAAACAAUGGAGAAAAAGACUUGUGGCUUCAAGUAUAAGAGUAAAUAUCCUUUGAAAUUUGAGUUGGUGAAUACUAGAUUUAGAGCCUAUAAAAAUUAAGAGAUUUAAACAAAAUCGAAGAAGGCAAAAUGAGUCACCUAUUCAUCAUGGUUGGGUAGGACACAUAAAAGACUUUGGUCUUUUAUCUUACUUGAAAGUUCAUAUAUUUUUUUUUAAUUUUUUAUUUAUUUAUUUAUGAUAGUCACACAGAGAGAAAGAGAGGCAGAGACACAGGCAGAGGGAGAAGCAGGCUCCACGCACUGGGAGCCCGAUGUGGGAUUCGAUCCCGGGUCUCCAUGAUCGUGCCCUGGGCCAAAGGCAGGCACUAAACCGCUGCGCCACCCAGGGAUCCCGAAAGUUCAUAUUUUAAUACUGAACACCAUGCUUUCUAAAUUCCUCCAUGAAGGACACUUACAAGACUCUAAUAAUCCUAAAAUCUAUUUAGCAGAGUCACUAGAAAUUGUUUGAGAUUUGAGAAAAAGAAAAACUUGUUAAUUCCUUCAGUUCACUCAAAGGCAUACAAAAUGGCAAAAGACAAAAUAUUCAAUACAUUAUGCACUGUGAUUUAUUUAAAUACUCAUUAUUGUUUGCUGUAAGCUUGAAAGAAAAGGUUUUACUUUUUUGGAAUAUAAUUUAUAAGUGGAUCAAUUCUUUCAUUUUUUUUUUCAGUUCCUAAUCAGUGUGUGGUACAAUAUCUCCUUCCUUGAUUAUCAGUUGGCCUUUGGAUUGGUACCUGCCAAUUGUGUCGAACCUUCUUCUUUUUUUUUUUUUUUUUAAGAUUUAUGUAUUUAUUUAUUUAUUCGUGAGAAACACAGAGAGGCAGAGACACAGAUAGAGGGAGGGUAUCUACUCCCUGUGAGGAGCCUGAUACGGGACUUGAUUCCGGAUCCCAGGAUCAUACCCUGAGCUGAAGGCAUACAUUCAACCAAUAAGCCACCCAGACGUCCCUGUGUCGAACCCUCAGAAAUAAACACAUGGAGAUUUGGAAAGAGCUGUACGGA
rnacentral:lncRNA from 12 species